GACGAACGCUGGCGGCGUGCUUAACACAUGCAAGUCACGGGGGCCCGCAAGGGCAACCGGCGAACGGGUGCGUAACACGUGAACAACCUGCCCUCGUGUGGGGGAUAGCCAUGCUAACGCGUGGGUAAUACCGCAUACGUUCCCCUGGAGGAGUCUCUGGGGAGGAAAGCUCCGGCGCGACGGGGAGGGGUUCGCGGCCUAUCAGCUAGUUGG
rnacentral:rRNA from 1 species